ensembl:snRNA U6 U6 spliceosomal RNA
AUGCCUACUCAGCAGCACAUAUAUUAAAAUUGGAACAAUACAGGGAAGAUUAGCAUGGCGCCUGCACAAGAGUGACGUGCAAACCACAAUUCAUGGAAUCCCUGUGU